UGUUAACCGAAAGGUUGGUGGUUCGAGCC
rnacentral:piRNA from 4 species